AAUGAACGUUGGCGGCGUGGAUUAGGCAUGCAAGUCGGACGCCUAGCAAUAGGCGUGGCGCAAGGGUGAGUAAGGCGACGGUAACCAACCCCACGGAUGGCCAUAGCCGCGGGAAACCGCGGGUAAUAGCCAGCGACGUCAUCGAUCGGCAUCGAUUGAUGACCAAAGGUGCGAUUCCGCCGUGGGACGGGCCGUCGUGGUAUCAGGUUGUUGGCGGGGUAACGGCCCACCAAGCCUGCGACGCCUACCGGGCGUGCGAGCGUGGCCCGGCACACUGGGACUGAGACACUGCCCAGACUCCUACGGGAGGCUGCAGUCGAGAAUCUUCGGCAAUGGGCGCAAGCCUGACCGAGCGACGCCGCGUGGAGGAUGAAGGCCUUCGGGUUGUAAACUCCUGUCGAGGGGGAGGAAGGCGGCGCGAAGAGCGUCGCUUGACCGAUCCCUGGAGGAAGCACGGGCUAAGUUCGUGCCAGCAGCCGCCGUAACAC
rnacentral:rRNA from 1 species